GAGGGUAUAGCUCAGUGGUAGAGUGUAUGCUUAGCAUGCACAAGGUCCUGGGUUCAAUCCCCAGUACCUCUA
rnacentral:tRNA from 1 species